AACAAUAAAUAAGAAAGAGGAUUAGGGCUACCUCGAUACGCCGUUCCCAAUUCUCAGACUCUCUCCCUCCUCAUGAGAACAAUGGCGCGGCGGCGCACUCCUUCUCUCCGAUCAAGUCACCGACCACCGCGUAUCUCUGAUUCAAUCUCCGAUUCAACUCCGAUUUCCCUUGCGGUUCAUCGUCUCAUUCUCACGCUUCGUUAUGCUCUCAAUCUUUAACUAUUAUCGAUACCUCUUUCACCCUCUCCGAUUCGCUUUAUCUUCGUCUUCUGCGUUUUUGUGUUGUACGUGAUGUUGCGUGGUUGUUGUCAUCAUUUCUGCAGGUCGUCGAUGAUGAUGAGGAUGCGCGAUGAAGAUGAAGCUGAGCGAUGAUGAUGAAGAGAAAUCGGUGAGUGAGAAACGGUUACGGUUGAGUUUUCUUUCUGUGUGAUCCUUUUCUUCUUCCUUUUCUUUCAGAGUUUUGUUUAGGGCGGUUGAAGAGUAUUCGUAGUGGAUGAACAAGGUUCUGUUAUGAUGAGUCGAAGGUGAUGAAGAUGAGUUCAGAGAGAGAAGGUUGAAGAUUGAGAGAGAGUGAGAGAUGGUGGAGUGAACGUGUGAUGUAGAGAGUGAGGUGAAGAUGAUGAUGAAUGGUGAAGACUGAAUCUGAAUGUGAUGGAUCAGUUAUAUAGAGAUGGAGGUUUGAGAAUCUGAGCUUCAAGGGCUGUUCGGUAUAUGCAGUUAGUUUAGAUACCGAUCUUGGUGAGUUUUCCUAUGUUUUGAAGCAUGACUCAGAGGUAGGACCAUGGAAGGCGAGACUCAAAGAUAGGCGAGCAAAGUGAAACCGAAGGAGACUUGGUAAAGGAAGAUGAAGAAAAUUUAAUGUGUAUUUUGCACUGUAUAAUUUUGUACAGAAUGUAACAUGGCCCCUUUUUUAUGUACAUGGCAAUCAUAGUUGAAAUUUGAAUGAGUGUAUGGUUGUACCAAAAUACGGAUCUGCAUAUGUUUGUAAUUUCCUUUGUAAUCUCCCUGGCUUGUAUCAUAAACUUGGACCAAAUUUGAAUGAAAUAAAAUUUCCUCCUUGUCAA